rnacentral:rRNA from 1 species
AAUAAGCUAUUUAAGAGCGUAAGGUGGAUGCCUUGGCUCUCAGAGGCGAUGAAGGACGUGAUAAGCUGCGAUAAGCUGCGGGGAUUGGCACACACAAUUUGAUCCGUAGAUUUCCGAAUGGGGCAACCCACUAUAUUGAAGAUAUAGUAUCCGUUAAGGAAGCAAACCCAGGGAACUGAAACAUCUAAGUACCUGGAGGAAUAGAAAACAAAAGUGAUUCCGCUAGUAGUGGCGAGCGAACGCGGAACAGCCCAAACCAAAAUUGUUUCGGCAAUUUUGGGGUUGUGGGACCACGACAUUGAAUGUUUAAUGAAUUAGAAUUCUUUGGAAAAAGAAACCAUA